rnacentral:rRNA from 1 species
UACGGAGGGGGCUAGCGUUGUUCGGAAUUACUGGGCGUAAAGCGCGCGUAGGCGGACCUGCAAGUCGGGGGUGAAAGCCCGAGGCUCAACCUCGGAACUGCCUUCGAUACUGCGGGUCUCGAGUCCGGGAGAGGUGAGUGGAAUUCCUGGUGUAGCGGUGAAAUGCGCAGAUAUCAGGAAGAACACCCGUGGCGAAAGCGGCUCUCUGGAACGGUACUGACGCUGAGACGCGAAAGCGUGGGGAGCGAACAGG